rnacentral:tRNA from 2 species
GGUCGCAUGCCCGAGUGGUCAGGGACCCGCCUGCAAAGCGGGGGACGCCGGUUCGAGUCCGGCUGUGGCCU